rnacentral:rRNA from 1 species
AUUGAACGCUGGCGGCAUGCCUUACACAUGCAAGUCGAACGGCAGCACGGGAGCUUGCUCCUGGUGGCGAGUGGCGAACGGGCGAGUAAUGCAUCGGAACGUACCCGGAAGUAGGGGAUAACGUAGCGAAAGUUAAGCUAAUACCUCAGAAUCUUGGAGCAGGAAAGAGGGGGAUCGCAAGACCUCUCGCUGUCGGAGCGGCCGGUGUCGGAUUAGCUAGUUGGUGGGGUAAAGGCCUACCAAGGCGACGAUCCGUAGCGGGUCUGGGAGGAGGAUCCGCCACACUGGAACUGAGACACGGUCCAGACUCCUACGGGAGGCAGCAGUGGGGAAUUUUGGACAAUGGGCGAAAGCCUGAUCCAGCCAUGCCGCGUGAGUGAAGAAGGCCUUCGGGUUGUAAAGCUCUUUCGGCUGAAAAGAAAUCACACAGGCUAAUACCUUGUGUGGAUGACGGUAUCAGCAUAAGAAGCACCGGCUAACUACGUGCCAGCCGCCGCCGUAA